rnacentral:tRNA from 1 species
GUGCUUGUAGUCCAAUGGUUAGGUUUAUUGCCUUCCAAGCAUAGACCUGGGUUCAAACCCCGGUAAACGCA